UCCCUUGUAUCUCAGCUGGUAAAGAAUCUGCCUGAAAUGCAGGAGACCUGGGUUUGAUCCCUGGGUUGGGAA
rnacentral:tRNA from 1 species